CCAAUAAUCGUUCAUCUUGCGUUUGCCUAUUAAUUUGAUAUUUGCAUAUGUACCCUCCUACUCUAGAAUGAGAGAGGGGCUUCUUCUGUAAAAAAAAACACAUCUUGUCCUAAACUACUAACACUACUGUGUGGAUAUAAAAAAAAUAAUGACAGCUCUUUUGAUUACUCAAAUUUUCAUCAUGGACAACAUGCAAAGUCAAGCUACAGCUUUCAAUAAUGUGUUGCCUUGAAUUCAACUGGUGCCAUCGACGACACAGAGCUCAGUCAAGAAAGUCAAAAUAAAAGUUAAUGCCGAGUGAGAAUGAUGGUUUAGCCUACUUUCAGUCUUUUGCUAUGAAUCAUUCAUUCAUACACAGGUAAAACAUGACUAACGUUAUAUUUCACUGCACCUAUCCGCUGUAUGUGACACAUUUUUGUUGUGGCACAUUUGCAUAACUUUUUUGUUCAACUGUAUCAAGUUGUUUGCUUUGCUAGCUUCAACGAACAUCGUUAGACUCCAGCCACCCAAGCCGUAGACUGUUCUCUCUGCUUCCGCACGGCAAGCGGUACCGGUGCAUCAAGUCUGACAACAACAGGCUUCCUGAACAGCUUCUAUCCCCAAGCCAUAAUACUACUAAAUAGCGAAGAAAAUGGCUACACAGACCAUAUGAGUUGACCCUUGUAUAAAAAAAAGAUAUAUAUAAAAAAAACACUUUCUAUGCACACUCACACUGACACUCCAACACACACAUAACAUGCACACACAUUUGUUAUUGACUCUACACUCACAUACAAUCUUCAUUUACGCUGCUGCUACUGUUUUAUCAUACAUCAUGAUGCCUAGUCACCUUACCCCUAUACAUAUCUGCGUGUCACUCCAGUCUCCCUGCACAUUGUAAAUAUGGUAUUGGAACUGACCCUGUAUCAUAGCUUCUUACGUUCUCAUGUUCAUCUUAUUUAUAUAUGUCGUGUUUUUGUUCUAACUUGUUAUUUUAGUACUACGUUGAUAUUGACCACUGCAUUGUUGGGUUUAGAACUUGCAAGAAAGGCAUUUCACUGUACUUGUGCACGUGACUUUAAAACUUGAAACUGUUCACCCUGCUUGAUUCACAGAUCAGGCAGCUUUAUUGUUAGUCAGCCAUCUGCAUAUUAUUGGUUCGUUAGCUAGCUGACAGGCAGCUGCAUACUAUACUGGUUUCCACUAGAUGGCACAAACAGUCAAAAUUGGCUAUAAGAAUAGAUGGCACAAACAGUCAAAAUUGGCUAUAAGAAUUCAUGUAAACUUCAAAUGAAUUUACGGUUCGGCACAAGGUUAGGUUUAAAAUCACAUUUUAUGGCAGGGUUUAUGGCUGUGGUAACUCGUGACGACCCUGCAUACUAGCUAGUUAGCUGGGUUAAUGUUGAUUGCUCAUGCGUUUGCUACCAUCAUCUUUGUCAUUAUUCUCAAUGUUUCAUAAUCAAUGUGGUUCGAAUGCUAAUCGAAACAUAUACGUCAGUGGUACAAACGGGCUGUUAUUACUGUAGCGAUCUAAAUUGGCUACACAUUAUGUAUAGCUAGGUCGUUGUUUGUACAUUAAACUACGUACGAUACGUCGUAACACGGAACAAAGUAAAGAUUGCGCCAGAAGAGGUCUGUUUUUUCAGCUUGUCUCAAAUACUAUUUGUCCAGCUUGUCUCAAAUACUAUUUGUCCAUUGCCUUGUCAAAGUUUGAGGCUAACAUAUUAGUUGUAGGCCCAUUCGUUUUCAUUGCAGCCCUGUUUGAACGCAGUUACGCUAACGCCGUAUUCACGACACUCAGUGAGUCAACUCGCAUCCAGCUACAGUAGCUGGUAAUAGGCUAAAUGCAUUAUUCCGCCUCCAACGUUCUAAUUUACUUCAGACCGGGUUGAUGACUUCCGGAGCGAGUUCUGCUAUUGUUUUUAUCAUUAGCUUACUAGCUGUCGUCGAUGCAUUUCUGGCUGAAAUAGUUCGCAAUUACUACGUUUAAAUUACAGCCCCGCGAAGGAGGUGCUAAUGAACAUUGUUCAGUGCCUCUGUUCAGUUUCUUCCAAAUGUAAUGGUAUUGUGAGCUUCCAUCGUUUCCCAGUCGAUGUAGAGCUCAGAAAAAGGUGGUUAGUGGCAGUACGCCGUGAAAACUUUACUGUCACCAAACACACAAAGGUGUGUAAGUACACAUUUCGUCGACAGUGACUUUAUGAGGGAAAAAUGGGGGCUAGCAACACCUAAAAAGAGGUGUUGUUCCUACUGUCUUCGCAUGGAACUGGCAAAUUCAAAAGAGAUCUGGUGUUUGGGAAAGAAGACUGAAACGUCCUGCUCCGACUGAGGGUGGUGAAAGACAAGGUGCGCUGCCUAUGGACUGUGCCGUCUCUGAUCCGGUCCAGAGCAUGGGCCAAGCCAGUGUAAAUCAUAGGAAGAACCUGCCUCUCCUACACAAGUGAAUCAACGAGGAUGAACGAGCAGCACUUUUGGUAUUUUGUCUAACCUUAUGAUAAUAGAUUGGAUUACUAUGAAAGCUCAGGCUUUGUGGUCAGAUUGGUAAUUAAAUCAUCCUGCCUGGUCUAGCUGGUUUGUGACCUUACUACUUACAGGAAUACAUGAUCAUACAUAUUUCAGUUAUGGACUAUCAUAUAUUAAAUUGUUACAUAUUUUCCCCCAAAAUUUGUGAUUGUAAAAUGUUACUUUGUCACCUUGAAAACAGGUUGAUAACUGCACAAUUCCCUUCCAUUCAUGAUCCCAUUUCUUAUGUAUGAUAGUUGUCAUGCCAUGUUACCAUAGGAGUGGGCUAAUAUAGCACAAACAGAUCAAAGAAUAAGCUAACAUUUGGCUGAUUGUCAGAACAGAAAGAGUGAAACUUCAGUGUACUUGAGGACGACUCUAGAAAUAGUUUACAUUGUUACAGGAAAGAUAGAAAGGAGAAUAAGAUGUGGUUUGCUUGUUUGUCACCUGAAUGCGAGGGCAAGCGGUUGUGUUGGAUGUUACGGUUAUGAUAGUAAUGUAGGCUCUAACUUGCACUUUGUUAUCAGGUUUGAAUGAAAAUAUAUUUCCCUAACCUUGUUCUUUCAAUAAAGUUAUUUUGAAUUAAUAUUA